AUUGAACGCUGGCGGCAGGCCUAACACAUGCAAGUCGAGCGGAUGACGGGAGCUUGCUCCUGGAUUCAGCGGCGGACGGGUGAGUAAGGCCUAGGAAUCUGCCUGGUAGUGGGGGACAACGUUUCGAAAGGAACUCUAAUACCGCAUACGUCCUACGGGAGAAAGCAGGGGACCUUCGGGCCUUGCGCUAUCAGAUGCGCCUAGGUCGGAUUAGCUAGUUGGUGAGGUAAUGGCUCACCAAGGCGACGAUCCGUAACUGGUCUGAGAGGAUGAUCAGUCACACUGGAACUGAGACACGGUCCAGACUCCUACGGGAGGCAGCAGUGGGGAAUAUUGGACAAUGGGCGAAAGCCUGAUCCAGCCAUGCCGCGUGUGUGAAGAAGGUCUUCGGAUUGUAGAGCACUUUAAGUUGGGAGGAAGGGUUGUAGAUUAAUACUCUGCAAUUUUGACGUUACCGACAGAAUAAGCACCGGCUAACUCUGUGCCAGCCGCCGCCGUAACAC
rnacentral:rRNA from 1 species